UUUUUAUUGGGAUAGCCCCCCAAAUAUUGGGACAUAUAAAAAAAGACAACUCUGUUCCGCAGAGUAGCUGUUGACAUUAUAGUUGCGCAGGCACUUUGUUGACUCUAGAGAACCUCGGGCCAAUCGCACAUCCCCGUGGCGGCGACUUUGCAUGCGGAUGUCAUCCAUAUCAACUUUCGAUGCCAGUUUCUGCGCCUACCAUGGUGACCACGGGUAACGGGGAAUCAGGGUUCCAUUCCAUACAGGGACCCUGAGAAACGGCUACCACAUGCAAGGAAGUCAGCAGGCACGCAAAUGACCCACUUCCAACGCGGGAAGGUAGUGAAGAAAA